UACGUAGGGUGCAAGCGUUGUCCGGAAUUAUUGGGCGUAAAGAGCUCGUAGGCGGCUUGUCGCGUCGGCUGUGAAAACCUGGGGGCUCAACCGUGUGGUCUGCAGUCGAUACGGGCAGGCUAGAGUUCGGUAGGGGAGACUGGAAUUCCUGGUGUAGCGGUGAAAUGCGCAGAUAUCAGGAGGAACACCGAUGGCGAAGGCAGCCCCCUGGGCUAACACUGACGCUCAUGCACGAAAGCGUGGGGAGCAAACAGG
rnacentral:rRNA from 1 species